GAACCAGACAACAAUGAAAACAGAUGCCCCAGGUGAUCCAACUUCUUAGAGUACCUCUGUUGCAGUUUCCUCAGAUUUCUGCAUUCAGAACAAUUUCAAGGCUGCAAAGGCAUGGUUAAUAUUUGAACAUGACGCAUCUGGAUUAAAACAUCAUGGAGCCAGGUUCCUGGAAUUUUUCAGUUCUAAAUGCAAGUCACUGCUUGAAGGUAAUUGUGUUCAUAGUUCAGAUUUUGGAAAUCAAGUGAAAAGAGGCUUCAAGUGGAUGGUCCAAGUUCAUCAGAGCUCAGCUUCUGGUUCAGUGCUGGACAGAGGAGUCCUAAUUUAGGUCUUUGAAGACCUUGUUAGGUGACUUUAGUUUGACUGUCUUUUAGUGCUCUUACAUCUCAAUGUGCUUACUUUUGCAUCUUAGACAGCAGAUAUUAACAUGAAGGCAUGGGCAAUGGAAGUUGCUGUUGUGCAGUAUUCUAUAUUAACAUUUAGCAAGUCAGUAGUUGGCCCAAAUUGGCCAUUUACAGCAAUGCCGUGGACAGAGUUCAAGGUUUAGAAAUGCAACAGCAGCAACUUUCAAACAGACCUUGCUCAUUCAGUCACCAGGCAGAAUUUAAUCCAAUAGGACUAUUUAAUGGAAAUAUUAAUUAUUCAGUAUCCCCUUCCCUUUAUAAUUUACCUCCAAUGAACAGUAGGGACUUAAGAAUACUAUCUUAGCAAACUUGUCCCAUUUGGAUGAGCUUGCAAAGUGACACCUGAGGUGAUAACCAUUAGUGUCGUUGGCCACACAUUCCUGUUUUUUCUUGUGCACACAUGCAUUCCCCUGCCUUUUUGAAAUUCAGAAUGAUCAUAUGACUUCUAAUGACCCAUUGACAUGGUAAGAAGUAACACUGGCUACUUUUAGGUAAGAGAACUGAGAAGUAGGACUGUCAAUAGGAAUUAGUGAUGCUUCACAUGAAGGCUGGAACAAAGAUGGUCCCUAUUCAAAGCAUAAUGGACAGGUUAUGUGAGUGAGAAGGAAGGCCCUGGUGGUGUGCACUAUUGGGAGCUAGGGGUAGAUUGCUACAGUAGCAUAGCCGAGUCUAUCCUGCCUCACAGCCUGUAUAGGCUCUUUGAAGUUAUGGUGAUCUCUGAUGGUAAUUCCCCAGUUCUGUGUGCAGCAUGCUGGAGAUGUGCUAAGACUCUCCACACAGUCACUGCUAAGUUCUCAGAGUCACUAUGUAGUCAUACUCUUGUCUCAAUUUAAAAUUAACUGAAGAAAGAUUAGGUGUAGUAGGUAGCCAUUCCAGCUUUGACCUGGAAGCUCCAACCCCUAUUGAGGCUUUGGUAACGGUCACACCUACAAGGCAGGGCUGAGAGAGGAUGCUGAAGACUUGGGAUCUGGAUGCGCAGGCUCUCUUGGUUCCUGGACCCUGGAUGCUGGAGGUAGACCGAGCAGAGUUCUCCAGAGAACACCGUCAUACUGCGCCACACCUUUCCCAGACCCUGUAAACUAUCCCUUCACUUGUAAGUUACCCCACAAAAUAAACCUCCCUUUUAACUACA